UUCAUUCAUUCAAACUGAUAGAGUACAUCGAUGUAAUACAAAUUCAAAUUUGCUAAAAACAAAAAGGAUGAAUCUGCAAACAAACUCACAUCAUCCAUGUUAAUAGCAUAAAACGGCAAAUUACAUAAGCCUACAUAUAUGACUAUAUUGAAGUGUCUGGAAUGUCCAUGCCCCNNAGAAAGAAAAAAUAAUUUGGAGGGGUGAUUUUAGGUCAAUAUUUGACCUGAAAUCACCCCUCUUUGAUAAACUAAGAAGAAGAAAAAAGGUGACGGCUAGGGUUAGAACUUAG
rnacentral:lncRNA from 1 species